GGAGUGGCAGACGGGUGAGUAACACGUGGGAACAUGCCCUUUGGUUUGGGAUAACUCAGGGAAACUUGAGCUAAUACCGGAUAAGCCCGAGAGGGGAAAGAUUUAUCGCCGAAGGAUUGGCCCGCGUCCGAUUAGCUAGUUGGUGAGGUAAUGGCUCACCAAGGCGACGAUCGGUAGCUGGUCUGAGAGGAUGAUCAGCCACACUGGGACUGAGACACGGCCCAGACUCCUACGGGAGGCAGCAGUGGGGAAUAUUGGACAAUGGGCGCAAGCCUGAUCCAGCCAUGCCGCGUGAGUGAUGAAGGCCCUAGGGUUGUAAAGCUCUUUUACCCGGGAUGAUAAUGACAGUACCUGGAUAAGAAGCCCCGGCUAACUUCGUGCCAGCAGCCGCGGUAAUACGAAGGGGGCUAGCGUUGUUCGGAUUUACUGGGCGUAAAGCGCACGUAGGCGGAUCUUUAAGUCAGAGGUGAAAUCCCAAGGCUCAACCUUGGAACUGCCUUUGAUA
rnacentral:rRNA from 1 species